CCUACGGGAGGCAGCAGUGGGGGAUAUUGCACAAUGGGGGGAACCCGGAUGCAGCGACGCCGCGUGGGGGAAGGAGGGCUUGGGAAUGUAAAGCCCUAUGGGCAGGGAAGAAGCAAGACGGAACCGGACUACGAAGCCCGGGCUAACUACGUGCCAGCAGCAGGGGUAAUACGUAGGGGGCGAGAGUUAUCGGGAUUCACUGGGUGUAAAGGGCGCGUAGACGGCCAUGCAAGCCAGGGGUGAAAGCCCGGGGCCCAACCCCGGGACUGCCCUUGGAACUGCAUGGCUGGAGUGCGGGAGGGGCAGGCGGAAUUCCUGGUGUAGCGGUGAAAUGCGUAGAUAUCAGGAGGAACACCGGCGGCGAAGGCGGCCUGCUGGACCGCGACUGACGUUGAGGCUCGAAAGCGUGGGGAGCGAACAGGAUUAGAUACCCUUGUAGUC
rnacentral:rRNA from 1 species